GGUGUGUACAAGGCCCGGGAACGUAUUCACCGUGGCAUUCUGAUCCACGAUUACUAGCGAUUCCGACUUCAUGGAGUCGAGUUGCAGACUCCAAUCCGGACUACGACGCACUUUUUGGGAUUCGCUCACCAUCGCUGGUUGGCAGCCCUCUGUAUGCGCCAUUGUAGCACGUGUGUAGCCCUACUCGUAAGGGCCAUGAUGACUUGACGUCGUCCCCACCUUCCUCCGGUUUAUCACCGGCAGUCUCCCUGGAGUUCCCGACAUUACUCGCUGGCAAACAAGGAUAAGGGUUGCGCUCGUUGCGGGACUUAACCCAACAUUUCACAACACGAGCUGACGACAGCCAUGCAGCACCUGUCUCAGAGUUCCCGAAGGCACACCUGCGUCUCCGCUGGCUUCUCUGGAUGUCAAGAGUAGGUAAGGUUCUUCGCGUUGCAUCGAAUUAAACCACAUGCUCCACCGCUUGUGCGGGCCCCCGUCAAUUCAUUUGAGUUUUAAUCUUGCGACCGUACUCCCCAGGCGGUCUACUUAACGCGUUAGCUCCGAAAGCCACGGCUCAAGGCCACAACCUCCAAGUAGACAUCGUUUACGGCGUGGACUACCAGGGUAUCUAAUCCUGUUUGCUCCC
rnacentral:rRNA from 1 species